rnacentral:rRNA from 1 species
UACGUAGGGGCGAGCGUUGUCCGGAAUGAUUGGGCGUAAAGGGAGCGUAGGCGGACUUUUAAGUGAGAUGUGAAAUACCCGGGCUCAACUUGGGUGCUGCAUUUCAAACUGGAAGUCUAGAGUGCAGGAGAGGAGAAUGGAAUUCCUAGUGUAGCGGUGAAAUGCGUAGAGAUUAGGAAGAACACCAGUGGCGAAGGCGAUUCUCUGGACUGUAACUGACGCUGAGGCUCGAAAGCGUGGGGAGCAAACAGGAUUAGAUACCCCGGUA